CCGCUCUCUAAAACCCUAGAUUCACAUCUUGUUCCUACAUAUCUUUUUCUUCAUCUCUCUUUCGAUCCCUUUUAUUUUAUGGUUUUUGUUCGUCCAUUAAAAGCCGAUGAUUUUGAAUUUUGGCGUAUUCUUUUUGGUGAACAGUUUUCUUUUUCGUUUUUCUUCAUCCUUCCUAUAAGAAACCCUAAUGGCAAGCCAACCGAUCGAUACUUCUUUGGAAUUAUUUGUGAUUCUUGCUUUCACCGUCAUGUCCACCUCUUCCACAGCCGCCGCCACUCUGUCACCAGCGAUUUCAACAGACUACAUGAACAACAUUCAGCCAUUGUCUGCUUGAUUCUAUCAAUUGUAGGUGGUAUUUGUUUAGAGGUAUGUUAAAUUGUUUCUUUUUGGUUUAUUUUUUAGAUUUCAAUGGAUGCUUUUAUGGUUUGUUGCAUUUACGUAUAUUAAUAUUUUGAUUUAUAUGUUGAAACUAAUUGCAUUGAAGUGCACAUAGGUUGCUCGAUCAUAUGCCACAAUGAAGUUUUAGUCUUUUUUAUUGAUUUCGGCCGGUUUAAACCUAUUGGAUUCGAUUUGAAUUAUGUCCGAACUAAAGGGAUUCCAUAUAUCACCCUACUAAAUUCUUAUCAUCUGAGAGGGUGGAAGAUUCAGACUUUGUUCACUAGCACUACCUAUGACAUGAGGGGUUUUGUUAGAUUUUCUAAGUUGUUGACUUAAUUGAAUGGUUUGACAAGUUUUUAUGUGGUUACAUUCAAGAUUCGUUGUAGAUAUACAGAAAACAUCUAUCUCAGCAACUAAGGUGACCUUAUUGGCGGGUUAUGAAAACACCUGCUGACUUACAACCCGCUCUAUGAAAGGUCUGAAACAGGAUUUUGUAUGGAGCAACUAAGGUGACCUUAUCCGGUGAUGACGGCGAGGGUUUCGACGAGUUGAUUUCAGAAAUGGAAAAUAGGUGAAAUUUAUUGAAAGGGCGAUUAUAUUAGCAGCUAAAGAACUGGAUGACUUAACUAAUAGCAGGUUUGAUUGUUCAGGUUGACUUCGGAAAUAAAGACGAUAAUAAUCAAAUCUAGGGCAUCCAUAGUUGUACUGUCGAAGAACUAUGCAAAAUCCAGAUGGUGCCUUAACGAGCUUUGGUUGAUCCUGUAGCAAAGGAGGGAGUGCAAAAUAGCAUAUUUAUAUUUAUAGUAUAUAUAAUUUGGUUCUCUCUUGCGAAGGUAGUCUAUUUAAAUUGUUGCAUCGUUCUAAUGUCCAACUUGAUGAAAUGAGGCGACUGCACAUGGCUCUUGAUGUGGCAAAGGGAAUGAACUAUUUGCACACUAGCAAUCCAAUGAUUGUGCACCGGGAUUUGAAGACACCAAAUCUUCUUGUCGAUAGAAAUUGGGUUGUUAAGGUAUGUGAUUUCGGGAUGUCACAAAUGAAACACCAUACCUUUCUGUCUUCUAAAUCUACCGCUGGAACUCCCGAAUGGAUGGCACCAGAAGUGAUGAGGAAUGAACCGUCCAAUGAUAAGGAGAAAGUGAAAAUCUAACCGUUAACAACAUGAAUAAACCCAAGGUAUUCGGAAACAGUUCAGACGGGUGCUGGUAAAGAUGUAUCUAUUUGUCAUUGGCGGCGUCUUGAAGUUUUAUAAGGUUUUAACCUUGAUAAAUUAAGAAAACAGAGGUCACGUGUCUCAUAUGCAUCAAUAUCUGCAAUUGAAACUAUAGGUACGAGUUACUCUCGACACAUGGAAGAUGAGUAUCAGAAGUUUAUCCGGAGAAUGAACCCGCCUCGAGUCGUAAUCGACGAGGAAUCGUGUAAAAAUGGUACAAUCAUUCAGGAUUAUGUUUUGACAUUGACGAGAUAAUACAAGCAUGGCAUGAACUGUAUGAAGUGAAAAGAUGGCAAAGUGGCGUUUUUCGAUUAGCGCCACUGUUUAGAAGAUGAGUUUUGGUUAUUGGUUCAAAGAAAAAAGUAUUGUGGAUGAAAUUUAAUAUAAGGGUGAACACAACAUACAUGUUUUGGAGAACAGUUAGAUGAAUAUAUCCGGGUCGCUAGCUUGGGAAGUGGGAUCACUUCCGCGGUUAAGGGUACCGUGCAUCUACCCCUUUUUUUCCGAGGGAACUUAAUUUACUAAGAGAAAGAUUUUGGUAACUCGAAGGAUAUGAAUCUUCAAAGGGACUCGACUAUCUUUAAAUUGUAUAUCCCCUCUAUCACUAAUUUAUGCAACAUCAGACUUUGUUUUUUAUUUUAUUUAUACACUUGAUAUUUUUCUUAAUAGUUUUCUCCAACCCGGGUAGCACCCG